rnacentral:rRNA from 1 species
UACGUAGGGUGCGAGCGUUAAUCGGAAUUACUGGGCGUAAAGCGUGCGUAGGCGGUUCGUUGUGUCUGUGGUGAAAGCCCCGGGCUUAACCUGGGAAUGGCCAUGGAAACUGGCGAGCUGGAGUGUGGCAGAGGGGGGUGGAAUUCCGCGUGUAGCAGUGAAAUGCGUAGAGAUGCGGAGGAACACUGAUGGCGAAGGCAGCCCCCUGGACUAACACUGACGCUGAGGCACGAAAGCGUGGGGAGCAAACAGG